rfam:Vitis vinifera, whole genome shotgun sequence of line PN40024, unoriented chromosome 1, chr1
CUCUCUAAGGAUGAUUACAAGAAAACUUUCUUCCGAGGUGUUCCAUGCGGAAAAUUUGUGGAGACCUGAACUGAAGAGCG